GAUGAACGCUGGCGGCGUGCCUAAUACAUGCAAGUCGAGCGAACAGACGAGGAGCUUGCUCCUCUGACGUUAGCGGCGGACGGGUGAGCAACACGUGGAUAACCUACCUAUAAGACUGGGAUAACUUCGGGAAACCGGAGCUAAUACCGGAUAAUAUAUUGAACCGCAUGGUUCAAUAGUGAAAGACGGUUUUGCUGUCACUUAUAGAUGGAUCCGCGCCGCAUCAGCUAGUUGGUAAGGUAACGGCUUACCAAGGCAACGAUGCGUAGCCGACCUGAGAGGGUGAUCGGCCACACUGGAACUGAGACACGGUCCAGACUCCUGCGGGAGGCAGCAGUAGGGAAUCUUCCGCAAUGGGCGAAAGCCUGACGGAGCAACGCCGCGUGAGUGAUGAAGGUCUUCGGAUCGUAAAACUCUGUUAUUAGGGAAGAACAAAUGUGUAAGUAACUAUGCACGUCUUGACGGUACCUAAUCAGAAAGCCACGGCUAACUACGU
rnacentral:rRNA from 1 species